ACAAAAAAUAUUGUUUGACUGGGCUGAAUAACUGACAGUAGUGUGAAUUGUGAAGGGACGACAUCAACACAGAUUGAAUAUUCAGGCUGGAUGCUGACAUUUCUUGAAGAAUGCAUAAUAGUUGUGAAGAACAAGCACGUCUCCAGAGGCUUGCUGGGAUGAAUCCAUAAGAACUGUUACACUAUAACCAGCAGGUGGCGUACCUGCCUCGCUGGAACCAGAUGCAUGUUCUACUGUCUGCUCACUUGCCGAGAUCCUCAGGCAGAACAAUGCAAACUGUACAUCUGUGUAUUCAAGAUCUUCUCUCCCUCAUCCUUGGAGGAAGACGGCAAAGUCCUAAAGGCAGCAUCUGACAGGAAGUGCAGUGUGAUGGAACUGCGGUGUGAUGGUGCCGCACGGGGAGCCCACUGACGGGAACUCACAUUCUCAGAAGAGAACCGACGCCAACUGCCCUCGGCAGCCAGGCUCCUCAGGCCCUCUUCCAGGCUGCGGUCAGGACUGCUGAGCCUACAGAGGUCCUAGCAAAGACGAGCGCUUCGAUACCGGCUUCUGAAGGGAAAAUCCCCUUCCAGCGCGAGAUCCCCACCAGCCCGACACUCCCGGGCGCCGGCUGAGCGCAGC